rnacentral:rRNA from 1 species
UAAGGGCGCACGGUGGAUGCCUUGGCACUAGAAGCCGAUGAAGGACGUUACUAACGACGAUAUGCUUUGGGGAGCUGUAAGUAAGCUUUGAUCCAGAGAUUUCCGAAUGGGGAAACCCAGCAUGAGUUAUGUCAUGUUAUCGAUAUGUGAAUACAUAGCAUAUCAGAAGGCACACCCGGAGAACUGAAACAUCUUAGUACCCGGAGGAAGAGAAAGAAAAUUCGAUUCCCUUAGUAGCGGCGAGCGAAACGGGAAGAGCCCAAACCAACAAGCUUGCUUGUUGGGGUUGUAGGACACUCUGUACGGAGUUACAAAGGACGACAUUAGACGAAUCAUCUGGAAAGAUGAAUCAAAGAAGGUAAUAAUCCUGUAGUCGAAAAUGUUGUCUCUCUUGAGUGGAUCCUGAGUACGACGGAGCACGUGAAAUUCCGUCGGAAUCUGGGAGGACCAUCUCCUAAGGCUAAAUACUCUCUAGUGACCGAUAGUGAACCAGUACCGUGAGGGAAAGGUGAAAAGCACCCCGGAAGGGGAGUGAAAUAGAACCUGAAACCGUGUGCUUACAAGUAGUCAGAGCCCGUUAAUGGGUGAUGGCGUGCCUUUUGUAGAAUGAACCGGCGAGUUACGAUUUGAUGCAAGGUUAAGCAGUAAAUGUGGAGCCGUAGCGAAAGCGAGUCUGAAUAGGGCGUUUAGUAUUUGGUCGUAGACCCGAAACCAGGUGAUCUACCCUUGGUCAGGUUGAAGUUCAGGUAACACUGAAUGGAGGACCGAACCGACUUACGUUGAAAAGUGAGCGGAUGAACUGAGGGUAGCGGAGAAAUUCCAAUCGAACCUGGAGAUAGCUGGUUCUCUCCGAAAUAGCUUUAGGGCUAGCCUCAAGUGAUGAUUAUUGGAGGUAGAGCACUGUUUGGACGAGGGGCCCCUCUCGGGUUACCGAAUUCAGACAAACUCCGAAUGCCAAUUAAUUUAACUUGGGAGUCAGAACAUGGGUGAUAAGGUCCGUGUUCGAAAGGGAAACAGCCCAGACCACCAGCUAAGGUCCCAAAAUAUAUGUUAAGUGGAAAAGGAUGUGGCGUUGCCCAGACAACUAGGAUGUUGGCUUAGAAGCAGCCAUCAUUUAAAGAGUGCGUAAUAGCUCACUAGUCGAGUGACACUGCGCCGAAAAUGUACCGGGGCUAAACAUAUUACCGAAGCUGUGGAUUGUCCUUUGGACAAUGGUAGGAGAGCGUUCUAAGGGCGUUGAAGCAUGAUCGUAAGGACAUGUGGAGCGCUUAGAAGUGAGAAUGCCGGUGUGAGUAGCGAAAGACGGGUGAGAAUCCCGUCCACCGAUUGACUAAGGUUUCCAGAGGAAGGCUCGUCCGCUCUGGGUUAGUCGGGUCCUAAGCUGAGGCCGACAGGCGUAGGCGAUGGAUAACAGGUUGAUAUUCCUGUACCACCUAUAAUCGUUUUAAUCGAUGGGGGGACGCAGUAGGAUAGGCGAAGCGUGCGAUUGGAUUGCACGUCUAAGCAGUAAGGCUGAGUAUUAGGCAAAUCCGGUACUCGUUAAGGCUGAGC